rnacentral:tRNA from 1 species
UGCAGGUUUAGCUCAAAUGGUAGAGCAAUUGCUUUGCAUGCAAUAGGCACUAGGAUCAAUACCCAGAAUUGCAA